rnacentral:lncRNA from 1 species
GCUCUUACAUUUUCUUUACGUAGUCCUAUCGUCCGGUUAAACUGCCUUCUAAUACUUGAACGCCAUGAGGUUGCAACAACCCAUUCAUAUAUUUGUUUGGUUAUUUCUCAACGCAUAAGGGUGUAGAGAGAUAAUGAAGUUGAACUAGAACCACAUUCUUUUCGUGAAUAGCGUGACAUCCCAAUACCUACCAUUCUCAUGCUAACUCAGUACUUAAUAUGCAGUUAAUUAUGACUUUCAAUUAUAUC